CCAAUACUCGUAGAGAUGAUAAUGAUGAUGCCAUCGAUCCUCAAUAACUCUUAGACUAUUUUUUUAAGAGUUUUAUAUUUUUUAUAUUUUUUCGAAGCACAUUGUAGAUGUAAAUUGAUAAUAUAAAUGUAAUCAUAUUUGACAAUAUGAAUAUUUUCUAUUUCUAUUGAUAUUACAUGUGUUAUUAUAUGACUUAUGUUGUG
rnacentral:lncRNA from 1 species